rnacentral:siRNA from 1 species
GCAGAAACGAUAUAUAUUUAGGUC